AGAGUUUGAUCCUGGCUCAGGACGAACGCUGGCGGCGUGCUUAACACAUGCAAGUCGAACGGUGAUCUUGAGAGCUUGCUCUUGGGUGAUCAGUGGCGAACGGGUGAGUAACACGUGAGCAACCUGCCCCAGACUCUGGAAUAACCCCGGGAAACCGGAGCUAAUACCGGAUACGACACUGGCCCGCAUGGGUAUGGUGUGGAAAGUUUUUCGGUCUGGGAUGGGCUCGCGGCCUAUCAGCUUGUUGGUGAGGUAGUGGCUCACCAAGGCGACGACGGGUAGCCGGCCUGAGAGGGCGACCGGCCACACUGGGACUGAGACACGGCCCAGACUCCUACGGGAGGCAGCAGUGGGGAAUAUUGCACAAUGGGCGCAAGCCUGAUGCAGCGACGCCGCGUGAGGGAUGACGGCCUUCGGGUUGUAAACCUCUUUCAGCAGGGAAGAAGCGCAAGUGACGGUACCUGCAGAAGAAGCACCGGCUAACUACGUGCCAGCAGCCGCGGUAAUACGUAGGGUGCGAGCGUUGUCCGGAAUUAUUGGGCGUAAAGAGCUUGUAGGCGGUUUGUCGCGUCUGCUGUGAAAAUCCGGGGCUCAACCCCGGACUUGCAGUGGGUACGGGCAGGCUAGAGUGUGGUAGGGGAGACUGGAAUUCCUGGUGUAGCGGUGAAAUGCGCAGAUAUCAGGAGGAACACCGAUGGCGAAGGCAGGUCUCUGGGCCACUACUGACGCUGAGAAGCGAAAGCAUGGGGAGCGAACAGGAUUAGAUACCCUGGUAGUCCAUGCCGUAAACGUUGGGAACUAGGUGUGGGUCUCAUUCCACGAGAUCCGUGCCGCAGCUAACGCAUUAAGUUCCCCGCCUGGGGAGUACGGCCGCAAGGCUAAAACUCAAAGGAAUUGACGG
rnacentral:rRNA from 1 species